GACUAUUCUAUGGAUGUUGUGAGAGUGGUGCUAACUGCACGUUUCUAUGGAUAACGAGGUACUUUGGAGUCAUUUGGAGCAAAACGGGCAAACAGAUCAAUUCACAAGCGAGUUAUAUUUGGAGCCGGCUAGGUUGCGCAAGAAAGAGGCGAAGAAUGAAGAGCAAGAAACAGAAUAGGCAGUCAGUUCUCUGAAACUGACAUGCCAAAUAUCACCUUGGUAGCCGGUAUCAUAUGUUGGGUGCCUAUAUCAUUUCCACUCAUUACUAAAACCUGAAAAUACCGACACAAAUAAUUUCUCAAUCAUUUUCCCAUAUAGGAUUCAUAUUUCAGAGAAUAGAGAAAAGAGAGGCGCAAUGUCUGAGACGAUUUACUUCUGAAAUCGAGUGAACAUGAUGGAAAAGGGGAUAAAUCAGGUGAAGUUGUUAUUAGAUAGACAGGAAGAAGAUGAUGGUGAUGAAACUGUUGAAUUCAUAGAAGCAGAUUGAAUCUGAGACUCAGGAGGAGAUUGAAAUCGAGAGCUUCUGUUGGUGGAGGAAUUGGUUUGAUUUAGGAGAUGGGUUCGAUGAUUAGAGAGGUUUGGAAGGAAUUAAAUACAUGGGUUUCAUCUAAUUACAAAAUCAGUUGGGAUUGACGGAAGAUAACACGGGUUUCUGAAGAGUUAGGGUUUGAAUUUGGGUUUUGAAUCAGAUUCAGGAAAUGCGAAGAAAUCAGGGAAUGAAGAUGGUGUUGCAGUGGCUUCGAUUGGAGGUUUUGCUGGUGGAAUUGUGCACCUGUAGGUUGAUGUUCAUGGUGCUUGCUGGUGAUGGAAGGAGGAAAGCAUUGAAGCUGAUCUCAUUGCAGGCAGAUGUUUAUGCUAGCUCAGAAGUGGAUGCAGUUGCAGUUGGUGGUUGUAACAAGAUUAAGAAGACCAUGUUGUUACUGGUGAUACUGAGCAUCUCUUGUGAAUUUGAAAUGGAUGUAACUGAAGUUAAGCUAGUGGUACUAGAAUGGAUUGAGCUAUUGCUAUCGGUUCUGUGUGAGAUAAAGAGAUGGUAGAGCUACAGGAAGAAGGAAUUGCAGCUAGAGAUGUUGGAAUUGGGUUAGUGCAGUUGAGCUCAAUGAAUGAUGGGUUCGGCGGAUUCAUGAAGCUGAGAAGAUUACAAGGGUUGUGAGAACUGAUGCCGUUAAUUAGUGGAGGUUGAAUUCUGGGCACAAGCUGAGGCAUAUGAACAUUGCAGGGAAGCUACAACAGUAUGACUGGUGUGUUUGAAUGGAGCACUGGUUGGUGGUAAUGAAGCUGCUUAGAUGAAUGUUAGGUUCACAGGUUGGUGGUACUGAUGCUGAGCAGUGAACUGGUGUUGUAAAUGGAAUAGCAGUGGUGAUGCUAUUGGAGUUGGAGCCAUGGAAUUGAAAAAGGAAGUAUGUGCAUUGCAGGAUGUGUUGUUGACAUUGAGAAGACUAUAGAGCAAGUGGUUGUUGGUUCUGGUGAUGCAGUCUGCGCUCAUAGAGGAGAAUGGGUUGUUACAUGUCUCAAAUGUAGUGGCAAUGGUAUUAAAUGAAUUGGCAGGGUGUGUUAUUACAGAGAAGAUGGAUUUGGUGGAGCAAGAAAAUGAGCUGAGCAGGUUAUGGAGCUGAAAUGGGUGCUAAAGCUAGUACUUGUAUGGAUGACUGAGAUGAUGGUUGAGGUGCAGGUGUUGCUACUGGCGAUGUUGUGGCGCCAAACAAGGACCAGAGUUGUUGUUGGAGUCAGAAUGCGGCUACAGAUUAACAGUGGUGGUUUAACUGAUGUCAGAAGCUAGAACUAAGAUAUGUUGCUGGUGUUAGCCAAGGUUCAGUGGCAGUGACAAAGAGAGCUGAAGCAAGAAAAGGCAUGUUGAUGCCUAUGGAUGAUUGCGGCUAGAUGAAUGUGUAGGAAUGAAUGUGUAGGAAUGAAUGCAGGCAAGGAUUUGAAAGGCCUGGAAUCGGCCGGAACUGAUCAGAAAAUAGUUAAAACUCUGUUGGAAUCGGUUAUCACUGAGUUGACUCAGUGAGGUGGAUGAUUUGACCCGAAAUAACUUGGACCUAUCUGACUGGGCUUCACUCAUGGGUUGUUUCAUUGUUUAGCAGAUGGGUGCGACCUAAGUUAAGAACCUCAAGGUGAUAUAAAAGCAAGACCUCUCCUUAGGGAGAAAAAUAUCUCUUCUUUUACUUUUGUUCUAGGGUUUUAGACAUGAAAUCUUUUCUCUUUCUUCUUGUUAUGAACUCCAUGAACAUGAGCUAGAAUUUUAUUAUUGGUUUGAGGUUGUGGUCGGAUUUUGCAAGCAUGCUAUUCGAUUUAUGAAUUAGUUUUCUCUCAAAA